rnacentral:rRNA from 1 species
UACGAAGGGUGCAACCGUUGCUCGGAAUUAUUGGGCGUAAAGCGCACGUAGGCGGCUUGGCAAGUCGGAUGUGAAAUCCCUCGGCUCAACCAAGGAAGUGCAUCCGAAACUGCUGAGCUUGAGUUCUUAAGAGGAUCGCGGAAUUCCCGGUGUAGAGGUGAAAUUCGUAGAUAUCGGGAGGAACACCAGUGGCGAAGGCGGCGACCUGGGCCAAUACUGACGCUGAGGUGCGAAAGCGUGGGGAGCAAACAGG